rnacentral:rRNA from 1 species
AUUGAACGCUGGCGGCAGGCCCAACACAUGCAAGUCGAGCGGAUGAAGGGGGCUUGCUCCUGGAUUCAGCUGCGGACUGGUGAGUAAUUCCUAGGUAUCUGCCUGGCAGUGUGUUAUAACGUCCUGAAACGGGCGCUAAUACGUCAUACGCCCUGAGGGACUAAGUGGGGGAUCUUCGGACCUUACGCUAUCAGACGAUUCUAUGUCGGAUUAGCUAGUUGGUGGGGUAAAGGCCUACCAAGGCGACGAUCCGUAACUGGUCUGAGAGGAUGAUCAGUCACACUGGAACUGAGACACGGUCCAGACUCCUACGGGAGGCAGCAGUGGGGAAUAUUGGACAAUGGGCGAAAGCCUGAUCCAGCCAUGCCGCGUGUGUGAAGAAGGUCUUCGGAUUGUAAAGCACUUUAAGUUGGGAAGAAGGGCAGUAAGUUAAUACCUUGCUGUUUUGACGUUACCAAAAGAAUAAGCACCGGCUAACUUCGUG